rnacentral:rRNA from 1 species
CAGCAGCCGCGGGAAUACGAAGGGGGCUAGCGUUGUUCGGAAUCACUGGGCGUAAAGCGCACGUAGGCGGACAUUUAAGUCAGGGGUGAAAGCCUGGAGCUCAACUCCAGAACUGCCCUUGAUACUGGGUGUCUCGAGUCCGGAAGAGGUAGGUGGAACUGCGAGUGUAGAGGUGAAAUUCGUAGAUAUUCGCAAGAACACCAGUGGCGAAGGCGGCUUACUGGUCCGGUACUGACGCUGAGGUGCGAAAGCGUGGGGAGCAAACAGGAUUAGAUACCCCAGUAGUCCCUGUCUCUUAUAC